rnacentral:misc_RNA from 1 species
GAUGAAGAACGUAGCGAAAUGCGAUAAGUAAUGUGAAUUGCAGAAUUCAGUGAAUCAUCGAAUCUUUGAACGCACAUUGCGCCCAUUAGUAUUCUAGUGGGCAUGCCUGUUCGAGCGUCAUUUCAACCCUUAAGCCUAGCUUAGUGUUGGGAAUCUGCUGUAUUGCAGUUCCUCAAAUACAACGGCGGAUCUGUAACAUCCUCUGAGCGUAGUAAAUUUUUAUCUCGCUUUUGUUAGGUGUUGCAGCUCUCAGCCGCUAAACCCCCCAAUUUUUGUGGUUGACCUCGGAUCGGGUAGGAAUACCCACUGAACUUAAGCAUAUCAAUAAGCGGAGGA